rnacentral:rRNA from 1 species
AGUGAACGCUGGCGGCGUGCUUAACACAUGCAAGUCGAACGAGAACGGGUUAUAGCUUGCUAUAAUUGUCAGCUAAGUGGCGCACGGGUGAGUAAUGUAUAGGUAAUAUGCCUCUUACUAAGGGAUAACAAAUGGAAACGUUUGCUAAUACCUUAUACUCCUUAUUAACCUAAGUUAAUAAGGGAAAGAUUUAUUGGUAAGAGAUUAGCCUGUAUUGUAUCAGUUAGUUGGUGGGGUAAUGGCUUACCAAGACUAUGACACAUAACUGGUUUGAGAGGAUGAUCAGUCACACUGGAACUGAGACACGGUCCAGACACCUACGGGAGGCAGCAGUGGGCAAUAUUGCACAAUGGACGAAAGUCUGAUGCAGCAACGCCGCGUGGAGGAUGACACAUUUCGGUGCGUAAACUCCUUUUAUAUGAGAAGAUAAUGACGGUAUUAUAUGAAUAAGCACCGGCUAACUCCGUGCCAGCAGCCGCCGUAAGAC